rnacentral:rRNA from 1 species
GAUGAACGCUGGCGGCGUGCCUAAUACAUGCAAGUCGAGCGAACAGACGAGGAGCUUGCUCCUCUGACGUUAGCGGCGGACGGGUGAGUAACACGUGGAUAACCUACCUAUAAGACUGGGAUAACUUCGGGAAACCGGAGCUAAUACCGGAUAAUAUAUUGAACCGCAUGGUUCAAUAGUGAAAGACGGUUUUGCGGUCACUUAUAGAUGGAUCCGCGCCGCAUUAGCUAGUUGGUAAGGUAACGGCUUACCAAGGCAACGAUGCGUAGCCGACCUGAGAGGGUGAUAGGCCACACUGGAACUGAGACACGGUCCAGACUCCUACGGGAGGCAGCAGUAGGGAAUCUUCCGCAAUGGGCGAAAGCCUGACGGAGCAACGCCGCGUGAGUGAUGAAGGUCUUCGGAUCGUAAAACUCUGUUAUUAGGGAAGAACAAAUGUGUAAGUAACUAUGCACGUCUUGACGGUACCUAAUCAGAAAGCCACGGCUAACUACGUG